rnacentral:rRNA from 1 species
GAUGAACGCUGGCGGCGUGCCUAAUACAUGCAAGUCGAGCGGCAGCACGGUCUUCGGACUGGUGGCGAGCGGCGGACGGCUGAGUAACGCGUAGGAACGUACCCCAAAGUGAGGGAUAACUGCUCGAAAGAGUAGCUAAUACCGCAUGUGGUCUAAGGAUUAAAGCUUCGGCGCUUUGGUAACGGCCUGCGUAAGAUUAGCUAGUUGGUGAGGUAAUGGCUCACCAAGGCGAUGAUCUUUAGCUGGUCUGAGAGGAUGAUCAGCCAGACUGGGAAUGAGACACGGCCCAGACUCCUACGGGAGGCAGCAGUAGGGAAUUUUCCACAAUGGGCGAAAGCCUGAUCCAGCAAUGCCGCGUGCGUGAAGAAGGCCUUCGGGUUGUAAAGCGCUUUUGUCUGGGAGCAAAUCCUGGCCUCUAAUACAGGUCGGGGAUGAGAGUACCAGAAGAAUAAGGAC